UGCCCGUACUACUAUGACUGAAAUAGAGUUUGUGUCACAAAUCCCACCCUUUUCCUGAUAUAGUGCCCUUCUGAACAGGGCCCAUAGGGCUUUGGUCAACAGUAGUGCACCAUGCAGGGAAUAAAGUGCAGUUUGGGACGUAAACAAAUAUAUUUUGUUUCAAAACUUCCAACUGGCAUAAAAUUCCAGUAAUAAUAGCAAUUUACUGGAUGGAAAAUCUGGUUUGAAAUACAUUACAUACUAUGAUAUAAUUAUAUGCUGAACUGCUCAGUAUGAACAACUUAAUGUUUUUUGGAAUAAUUGUAAACAGAAAAAGUACUGACUUGGCGUUUUGUCUAUGAUAGCAUUUGGUCACACGUGAGUGCUACUGUAUUAAACAGCUACGGUACAGUACAGUACAGUGACUGUUCAUUACAAAUCUGUGGUCCAAAAUCUCAGCAUAAAUCCUCUACCAAUUAUUCCAUAGCUCUGUCAGCCCUCUCACGGUUCACUUAAAGUACACUGAGCAGAAAGAACAUUCCUGUCAGAGCAUCUGUUUAGUAGAGCACUACACAUCUCUAGGUUCAGACCAGAGAGAUUUAGGUUUUGACAAGAGACACAGAUGUUGAAGGUUGUAGUAGCCUGAAGGAGGGAAGGAGAAGCGAAGGAGGGAGGGAAGAAUAGUUGGAGGGAGGGAAGAAGAGUAGGAGGGAGAGAAGAAGAGUAGGAGGGAGGGAAGAAGAGUAGUAGGGAGAGAAGAAGAGAAGGAGGGAGAGAAGAAGAGUAGGAGGGAGAGAAGAAGAGUAGGAGGGAGGGAAGAAGAGUAGGAGGGAGAGAAGAAGAGUAGGAGGGAGGGAAGAAGAGUAGGAGGGAGGGAAGAUGAGUAGGAGAGAAGUAGGAGGGGGGAAGAAAAGUAGGAGGGAGAGAAGAAGAUUAGGAGGGAAGUAGGAGGGAGAGAAGAGUAGGAGGGGAGAAGAAGAGUAGAAGGGAGCGAAGAAGAGUAGGAGGGAGAGAAGAAGAGUAGAAGGGAAGAAGAGUAGGAGGGAGGGAAGAAGUGUAGGAGGGAAGAAGAGUAGGAGGAAGAAGAGUAGGAGGGGGAGAAGAAGAGUAGAAGGGAGGGAAGAAAAGUAGGAGGGAGAGAAGAAGAGUAGGAGGGGGAGAAGAAGAGUAGGAGGGAGUGAAGAAGAGUAGGAGGGAUUGAAGAAGAGUAGGAGGGAAGUAGGAGGGAGAGAAGAAUAGUAGGAGGGGCAGAAGAAGAGUAGGAGGGAGGGAAGUAGAGUAGGAUGGAGAGAAGAAGAGGAGAGAGUUCUUCUUAGGGAUAGAUUCUAUCAGAUCUGCGCUAGCAGACAUCCUCAUAGCGGUUGUUUUGGCGGCGGCAGAGGUGGAAUGCAUUAGAACUGUCAAAUCCACAAGCGGCUCCCAGAUUUAUACCUAAAGUGGACAUUGCAAUUGGCUGCACAGAGUCACAUUAAGGGAAAUUUCGAACAUUGGAGUUUGAGAUCUAAUCUACACCUCGGUUAGUCUAAUAUAAAUCUUCAUGACAUAAUUGAAUGAUUUUUUUAGUUUCAGUGUAAUUAUUUCUAUAUAGCCUAUACUUUAUUGUUCUGAACUUCAUGACAAUGAUCACAUGAGCUGCUGCUCACCGAUUUAUGAGUAGUUACACCUCCGACACCGCCAAAACAUCAGCUAUGUGGGUGUCGGCUAUUGCCGCUUUACACUUGAUCUAAUUUAAUCUAGGCCUUAGUUGCCUGGUCCAAUAGCUGUUUGUGCUCUCUUGCACAAACAGAUCUGAGACCAGGCUACAAAAUAGUCACAGCAAAGACCAUAGGAACUGGAGAGACAGCACAAACAGAUCUGAGACCAGGCUACAAAAGAGUGAUAGCAAGGACCAUAGGAACUGGAGAGACCGCACAAACAGAUCUGAGACCAGACAAUCUCCUUAGCGAUGGAGGAUAGUAAGUCUCUUUAGCGAUGUAAAGUUUUGAGAGAGUCUUUGAGCUGUUUGGUGAAGGAGGCGUGGAGGGUCUGAGACAAGGUAUCCAGCCCCUUGGCGAUGUCUGCUGCUGCCUGGAAGAGGCCCUCAAACGUUAGGGACUCCUCUUUGAUUCUGUCAUGAAAGGAGACAAGACAAACAGGGUUAGCAGGGAGAGAGGGGAGGAUGGAGGGAGGGAGUGAAGAAGGGAGGGAGGGAGAGAGCGGAGGAGGGAG
rnacentral:lncRNA from 1 species